GUUUUAUUUUUAUCUUGAACACCAUCCAAGGGAGUAGAAAGCACAGAGGUCAGAAACAAAGCUGGUUUUCCUUCUGCCUGUGGUCCUUGUGCCAAAGCUGCCUCCCUAACUGGGCUUACUCUGGUACUUCCUGCUUUUGAGAAGCCUUCAUGCAUCAGACUAUUUUGGGAAGACCCUGGGCUCAGCACCCCUGGCUGAGGCCUUGACCUUUCAGAAGAAUGGCAGGGCCGGAGGUCUGGGGCUUCUCUUCCACUAUUAGAGACAUGCAGGGCUAAUUCCCUGUGGCUACUUUGGAGCAGAUGUAACCAAGAAAUCAAUAUAGUCAUUAGAUUAACCUGUGGCAGCCAUGAUGGGAGAGCAGUGCCUACCAUGGAGCGUGGGCUGAGAUGUACGUAUGAGCAAGGAGGAGGGGAGGCGCUUAAAAGGGGAAUACGAUCCACUAAAUUGAAGGGAA
rnacentral:lncRNA from 1 species